GAUGAACGCUAGCGGGAGGCCUAACACAUGCAAGCCGAGCGGUAUUGUUUCUUCGGAAAUGAGAGAGCGGCGUACGGGUGCGGAACACGUGUGCAACCUGCCUUUAUCUGGGGGAUAGCCUUUCGAAAGGAAGAUUAAUACUCCAUAAUAUAUUGAACGGCAUCGUUUAAUAUUGAAAGCUCCGGCGGAUAGAGAUGGGCACGCGCAAGAUUAGCUAGUUGGUGAGGUAACGGCUCACCAAGGCAAUGAUCUUUAGGGGGCCUGAGAGGGUGAGCCCCCACACUGGUACUGAGACACGGACCAGACUCCUACGGGAGGCAGCAGUGAGGAAUAUUGGUCAAUGGGUGCAAGCCUGAACCAGCCAUCCCGCGUGAAGGACGACUGCCCUAUGGGUUGUAAACUUCUUUUGUAUAGGGAUAAACCUUUCCACGUGUGGAAAGCUGAAGGUACUAUACGAAUAAGCACCGGCUAACUCCGUGCCAGCAGCCGCCGUAAGAC
rnacentral:rRNA from 1 species